UUAACUCAAAUUUGUAUGGAGUUGGAACGUUUGCCUACGUUUGCCGCUAGGGGCGCUGUUCCAACUGCAUACAAAUUUGAGUUA
rnacentral:pre_miRNA from 1 species